GUAGGUGAACCUGCGGAGGGAUCAUUACGGAGUGAGGGCCCUCGCGGCCCGACCUCCAACCCUUUGUCAUCCGACUCUGUUGCCUCGGGGGCGACCCGGCCUUCGGGCUCGGGGCCCCCCGUGGACCUGUAACACUGCAUUCUUGCGUCUGAGUACAGAUUAAAUCAAUCAAAACUUUCAACAACGGAUCUCUUGGUUCUGGCAUCGAUGAAGAACGCAGCGAAAUGCGAUAAGUAAUGUGAAUUGCAGAAUUCAGUGAAUCAUCGAAUCUUUGAACGCACAUUGCGCCCUUUGGCAUUCCGAAGGGCAUGCCUGUUCGAGCGUCAUUACACCACUCAAGCCUGGCUUGGUAUUGGGCGCCGCGCUCCGGCGCGCGCCCUAAUGUCGCCGGCCGAGUCGUCCGUCUCUAAGCGUUGUGGCAACUAUCCGCUUACGAGUCCACGCGACUUUGCGCCGUAAAACCGAUGGGCGUCAGACCCCAUCAUUCAAGGUUGACCUCGGAUCAGGUAGGGAUACCCGCUGAACUUAAGCAUAUCAACAAGCGGAGGAAAAGAAACCAACAGGGAUUGCCCCAGUAACG
rnacentral:rRNA from 1 species